UAUCAACGCGAGUCAUUUCUUUUGAGAGCACGAGUGCGACUUUGAUAAGCUAUAUAAUUACAAACAAGACGCGGGAACAAAUUGAGAUAUAUGUUUUACGUCUAAAAGAAUCGAUUGUUCUCGAGAUAAACGGCUCGUAUGUGUGCGACUGUGUUCAUUUUGUAUUUGCGAAAAUUUAAAGGAUCGAGGUGCAACGACAAUCCAAAGAUGCGAUCUCGGAGAACAGCGGUUAGCAUUGUUGUAGUAUGAUCGCAUGAAUUGGCAAGAGUAUCGCCAGAGAAACUUGCGCGAGAUUUCCUUUUCUUUUUUCGUCGAGAAUGUGCGUGAAAGAAAAAGUAAGAAAGAAUGAAUGGAAGAGAGAACGAUAGUUAAAGAACUACGAAUCUAAUAGGGGAAGUUAAUAAUAGUUGUAAGAAUAGCGAGUCGCGAUCUCUGUGAUGAUGAUAACAACGUUGAGGACAGUGGCGAUGAUUUUUCCUCCCUCCGUGUCCCUUUGACGGUUACUGUCACGGGCACGACGAGAUGCAAUUAACCGUCGAGGUUUUUAGAAUACAUAAGACAUAGAUGAUAACGACUGUAAUCUAUUAUGUAGUAUUGUAAAAGAAAAACAAAAAGCUAAUACUUAAGGUUCUGACUGGAGCGCGUUAAUAGGCAUUAUAUAUAUAUGUCACGAUUAAGAAUUUAACUGUUUACAAGGAGGGAGCACGUCGGUCGAUGAUAAUGAAGAUUGUAAUAUAGACGACGCGAUACAUUUAAAUAAUUGUAAAUAAGCAGAUAAAAACGCGUAGGAGGGAGGGUGGAUACCCUCGAAAACAGGCACAGAGGCAGAGAAUUAUUUUGCUACGCGAGAAGAGGGAAGACUUCCGAGAGUUUUUGUGUGCGGUUCACAUUGAUGACCCGUUCGAGCGAUUCGUCAGAUCCGAACGUCGAUAAACAGCCGAUUUCGCAAACGUGAGAUUAAAACCGCGAGAAUGGACAAGAACAAGAAGAAGAAAGAAGACACAAGAAGAACAGAAGAGAGGAAGAAUCGUCGUUACGCGCAGAAACGAGAUCUAGAUCGUCUAUUCAUCUAAUGACGAGAUCCAAUGUCAAGUUCGCAUUUGUGAUAAUAUUUCCAAGAUCUUCGGAGGAGAGGAAUAAUACCAAGAAUCGCUAUCUUUGAACAACGGAAAAUUAUCCUCAACAACAAUACAUCAGAUAAUUCGAGAUAAUUCGUCGUAAAUGCGGGAUAAACAAUUCUGUCGAGAAAGUAAACUGAGUGGCUAUUUCUUAUCUGUUAUUGAGAUAGGAUGACUCAAGGAAGAAAUGCGAGAGACAUCAUUGUGAUCGCAUGAGAGACGAGGAAGGAGAGAUGGAUGAUACGUAGAUGACCAGCGACGGCCACCUUUCGACGCAUAUCCCCAUAUUGUUUUCGCGAAACAAUCAUCUUAUCCUUGCGCGUCCGACGAGGAAAUUUCGAAGAAGAAUUAGAAGUAAUCAAGAAAGAAGAGAAAGGCGGAAGAUCGGGAUACGGAUGACAAACUCGACGCAAAGGAUCAUCGCAGCUUUUUUUCUUCGUCUUUAUAUCCGCAGAAACAAAAGAGAAUCGUCAAGAGACCAAGAUGCGGAUGAUCGAAAAUCCAAGGACGAAGACUGUGACGCUCGGGGAAAAUAAUGUAACGAAUAAGGUGAAGUUGAAGGAAGUUCCUGGAAGCUGUUCGCUUAAAUCGCUCGAUAUUAUUGUAAGAAGAAGAAAAAAAGAGAGAAGAGUCAUAUUUGAAAGGUGUUAGAGCGUAAACUGUUUGUAUCGUACUUUGCUUUGCACAUUUAAUACUGAUGAGUUUUUCGAAGAAAGAGCUGUGAAGCAAAACUAAAGGGAUUCAACAAAGAAGAAGAAAUGCAACGAUUAUGGAGAAGAGAGAGCGAUAAUGGAAGAAGACUAAGGAAACGCAAAUUUCUCGGGUGCGAGUGAUCAUCAAGAUACGGAGCGAAGAGCGGAGCAGCAAGUAUAUAUGAAAAAAGCUCUCCGUUCGUUAGCAGAGCAGUAUCUUGAGUCUGAAUGAGUGUAGUGGGUCUCAGGAUUUCCAAGAAGAAAAAGAAACGGACCAGAAAAUGUCUUUUUGAAAAGGCGCCAAAAAAAAAAUUAUAAGUGCAGAUGAAACCAAUGAGAGAGAAAGCGGGCAUGCGUGAAUGUACGAAAGAGGCGAGAAGUGUCGAGGGCAAGAGACUAACGAAGGAGAGAGAGAGAAAAAGAGGAAGAGAGCUUAAGAGAGAAGUGGAAGAGAAGACCGAAAGGAGUCAACGAUUUGGUGUGCAAUAGUGUCCGAUCGAUUUCGGGGAUGUGGUAAACCAGGAGAACAAAAAGCAGGCGGAGUUUUCGAUUCCUCGAUCACAAGUCGUGGGAAAACCCCAAGCGGAGAGUCUUUACGCAAGAGAAAAGCCGGGGAGUUUUAACAGAACUUUCUGUUUCCGUGACUUCCAGAGUAUAUUUCAGCGCAGCGCAAUUAUACAGCCACAUACACGGGGACGGAGUUCAUGUAUUUCUAUGUCUAUGUGAGUCGCUUAUAUAUUAUGAGAGGCGCACAUAUUCAUAUUAUUGUUGAACGAAGAAAGAAAAGGAGAUACAAUAAAAAGAGAACUGUGGAAGACAAACUGCGAAAUCAGAGAAGAAUCUCUGAUGAGAUGAUCGGAGAUAAGACAGAAAUAGAAGAAGAUAAGUUGCGGACUCGCUUGACGAGUCCGUGUAAAUAGAUGUGUGCUGCCGCUUUAAAAAGAAGAAACCGAAGAAUCCUUGGAAUCUACAUAUUCAAGAGGAGAACGGAAUUAGCAUCUUGCCGUUCACGUAAGAAGCGAAGAAGGAAAUAAUCAGAAUGGAGUAGAAGAAAUUUUCAAUUAUUUUUUUCAAUAUAUUUCCAUUCCCUUAUUAAAAAAGAAGAAAGAUUUUUUUAAUCGAUUUAAGAAUUCUAACACGUGACUUUUGGCCAUCUUCAAGAUUUGCAAUAUAUUUCAAGGGAGAAUCGCUUUUUUCUUUGUUUCUUCCAUCUUGUAUGUCCAGUUGUAUUCUACUUAAAGAUUCUUCCGCAUAAUCCUUCAUUAUCAUUCGAACGUUCACAUGAGCCUGGACAGGGGGGGGGGGUUUUUAGUGGGUAGGCGAUACACAUAUGUCGAAUCCCACACACCUCGGGGUACGGAUCCCGAGGCGUCUUGCGAAGAUUUUCCCCCUCCUACGUAAAACAAAAAAAAAAAAAGAAAUGAUGCUAUAAGUCUGUUUUCUGUGGCCAAACCAGUGUAUACUUUUGAAACUUAAAGUGAAAUAGGUAUAUAUUUGAUAUUUGUCGAAAGCGAGAAAGAGAGUGCAGAAACAGAAAACAGACCAUAUGUAAGCUGACCUUUUGAAAAGAGACGUGCAAACUGUCCUUUUCAGGACAAAUUUUCAACAUAUCUAAUAAAUAAUAAAAUGUUCUUCCUGUUAAAAUACAUUCCCUUUUCAGGAUAUUGCUAUGAUCGAUUGGAGACAGUAUAAACAUUUACAUACAUAUGUGCAACAUAUAAAACAUACAUAGCAAUGUGUCAGUCCAUUCAGCAAAUGGCGCAAGCAAUUGCGUCAAUCAGAACUACGUUCAAAACAAGUGACGUGGAAAUUUCCAUAUUUCAAUAUUCGCACGAACAUCUCCAAUAGUCAGCAUAUCUCUAUAAAAGUUUACCAUCUGUGACGUUGUAGAAUUUUACACACGCGCCUGCUCCGUAAACUGCGAAUAUGUCUUGAUUGCCAAUCAUCCAUGUUAAUCCCACAAUUGUAUUGUCCACGGAAAUGGUUUGAUGACUGACAUGCUACGUUCAUGUAACACAAUUAUGUAAUGUGAAAGUUAUAUUUAAAAAAUUAAAAUUAAUAUAUAAUAAACAUUUUUAUAAAAA